rnacentral:rRNA from 1 species
GUACGGGAGGCAGCAGCGAGGAAUAUUGCGCAAUGGGGGCAACCCUGACGCAGUAACGCCGCGUGCGGGAUGACGGCUUUCGGGUCGUAAACCGCUUUUCGGGGGGACGAGUGAGGACGGUACCCCUGGAAUCAGUCUCGGCUAACUACGUGCCAGCAGCCGCGGUAAAACGUAGGAGGCGAGCGUUAUCCGGAUUCACUGGGCGUAAAGCGCCAGUAGGUGGUUCGUUAAGUCGCGUGUGUAAGCCCCUGGCUCAACUGGGGGAGGUCAUGCGAAACUGGCGGACUGGAGGACCGCAGAGGCGAGUGGAACUCCCGGUGUAGCGGUGGAAUGCGUAGAGAUCGGGAAGAACACCCGUGGCGAAGGCGACUCGCUGGGCGGUUACUGACACUGAGUGGCGAAAGCGUGGGGAGCAAACGGGAUUAGAUACCCCGGUAG